CCUACGGGUGGCAGCAGUGGGGAAUAUUGCACAAUGGGGUAACCCCUGAUGCAGCGACGCCGCGUGAGGGAAGACGGUCUUCGGAUUUUAAACCUCUGUCUUUGGGGAAGAAAAUGACGGUACCCAAAGAGGAAGCUCCGGCUAACUACGUGCCAGCAGCCGCGGUCAUACGUAGGGAGCGAGCGUUUUACGGAAUUACUGGGUGUAAAGGGAGCGUAGGCGGGCGGGAAAGUUGAAUGUAAAAUCUACCGGCUUAACUGCGAGCUGCGUUGGAAACUGCUGGUCUUGAGUGGAGGAGAGGUAGGCGGAAUGCCUAGUGUAGCGGUGAAAUGCGUAGAUAUUAGGAGGAACACCAGUGGCGAAGGCGGCAUGCUGGGCUCCAACUGACGCUGAGGCUCGAAAGCGUGGGGAGCAAACAGGAUUAGAUACCCUAGUAGUC
rnacentral:rRNA from 1 species